CUCGAGACCGAAGUUCCCUGGUGUCUGCUGGAACUGGAGUCUUUGUUACCGGAGGUUUUGUACCAAAAGGGACGGUUGUGUCUAUGUAUCCUGGUAAUGGAAUAUUCUUUUUUCUGAUAAAGUUAGACGUGAUUUCUAACCAUCUAAUUGUAGAAUGCCAAAGUUCUACACUAAUUUUUUAUUUUACGGGUUUUCUUUCUGUCAUUCCUGAACGAAAUCACAAGUUACAGUGGAUGGGAAUAUUUCUGUAUGAAUAGACUAGAGUUCUUUUGGAAAUCAGCAAAGCAAUAUGGGGGGGUGAGGGUGGUAUGAUUUUGUUUAGGAAAAAAAACUUCUAGUGCUCAAGAGUCUUGAUUUUUCAGGUGAUAGAAAAGUUGUUCCACAUUCUUUAAACACAAGUGCAUGGGAGCAGUUUCAAGUAGAUGAAUAGUACAGUUAAAUUCAUUGGGGUUUCUGUUUUGGAUAAGGAUCUGAAAAAUGAGGUCUUGAGAUCUCCACACAAAUCAGCAGACCAGACAAUGAACUCUUUCAAAACAGAAAAAUACAAAUUGGAGAAUGAAAAUAAAACCUUUAUUUAGCGGAACUUUCUUCCAUAAAGCAUGUUUGGGAAAUCAGCACUUCUCUGUUCCUCCUCAUUUCCUGGAACUGUGUUUGCUUACAAUUCUUAAAAAGAUUUGUAAUCCUGUCAGCAUGGCCAAGCUAGAACAGCUCUGCUGAGACGCUUUCAAUUUGUUUCAGUUUCAUUUGUCAGGUGUCCCCUGUAUGUGUUUUCUAGCUUGUGCCAGCAUUGCAGGAUCAGGACCAGUCCAAGCGCUGGGCAGUGGAGCAUGUUUUGCCACGCCAAAGCAGGAGUGUCUGGCUGUUACCACUGACUGGUAGACUGACAAAUUGUCAAACAACAAUCACAGGGAACGAGGCUGUGACCUUGCAGCUCACUUCAAAUUUCAGGUGCAUGCUAAAUGUGAGUGAAGGCUCAUUACGAGUCUCCUCUUGCAGCUCAUGUAGCAAAACAAGAGGAGGAGCUGUUAAAACGUCUUUUUCAUGGGCAUGAAGGAAACUGCAGGGCUGCUGGCUGGGGAGGGGACCCUCUGGAGAGAGUGGGUCAGUGCUCUUCUGCCUGUCCUUUGGCAGCGAAUGCAGCCUGAUGGUGGGGUCUUUGCUGAACUCCUCCUGAGGCUGCAAUGAGGGAUUUCUGCAGGGGCUUGCUGUAGUUGCAGUGGGAGUGAGGGAUGCAGGCUGCAAUGUCAUGAAAAGUUGCAAGCCAGUCUGCUGUGACUUUUCUGUGCUUGGAACCCAGGGUAGGUUAAAUCCUGUCCACAGAUUUGGGAAAUGGUCUGCUGAAAUUACUUGUCUGUUCUUGGUUUGGCAUUUUCCCUCUCCUGUACUGAACAAAAUCUCUGAUCGGGGAGUGUUUCAGGUUCUUUGCUCCGUGCAUGCUUAUACUUUUUGGAGUUCUGACACAGUAGUAACAAAACCAAACAUCACGAUGUUUUCCUCUCCGAAGAAGUCCGGUUGGCUGUGAUGCUUUGUCUACCUCUCACAUGGAUACUGGACACAGGCCUUCUCUUUAAUGAUUUCCUUCAGUGGCUUCUCCUUUUGGAAUAUCUCAGCUCAUGUAGGGGUUUUUUUGCAUCCCACAAAGGUGUGUCUAAAAGCUUGUAGGUUUACAAGUGUCAGUGUCAUUAACGGAGAGAAGAGUUCUCUCCUGCCCCCUCUGUCUCCUUUGAGUUUCUCUGUGGAGGGGACUGGAAGAUAGUGUAAGCCCAUUCUGACAGUUAACUGACUUUCUUCUGAAAUAAUCAUAUCUGUCUUACAACAGGUACAGUAUACAGAAAGCAUGAGCCCAUCUUUUUCCAGUCCCUUGGCAAUCCCUUUAUUUUUAGGUGCAUAGAUGGCGUCCUUAUUGAUGGGAACGAUAAAGGGCUAUCGAAAUCAGUGUACAGGUAAGUGGUCAAAAGAAAUAGAGGAUUGUCACUCAACUGAUGUAAAACAGUGGUACUAACAGUCUCAGUUCCCUGUUACCUUACUUUGAGUUAUAUUUGAAUAUCAUCUAACUCUGUAUCUUGUGAUGCAAAUAACACAAGGGUAAGAGCUGCGAGGUUUGAUCUGUUACGUACUUGUGUCUUCAUCUGUAACACCAGUGAAAUGUGUUUUGAUGUACGGGGACUUGUUGCCUGUAAAGAAAAUAGUUUUAAUAGGAGCAGGAUGUAGCAUAAAUUUUUUUAAAUGCUUCUGAGCUGUUACUCAAAUCUGAUUAGUGGAUUAAAAAAAAAAAAAAGCCUUGUAUGUGGACUUGCUGAUACCAAAAGGGUGAAUCUGAUAACUCUGUCUCUGGUCUGCAGAUGAGCAGCACUUAGGAAGGGAGCAGUAACCCUUAUAAUAAUACCAUCUCAUGUUGGAAGGGAUCCAUAAGGAUCAUCGAGUCCAACUCCCUGCUCCUUGCAGGGCUACCUAAAACUCACCUUAUGACCAAGACCAUUGUCCAGAUGCUCCUUGAACUCAGACAGGGUUGGUGCCAGGGUGACCACUUCCCUGGGGAGCCUGUCCCAGUGACCGACCACCCUCUUGGUGAAGAACCUUUUCCUGAUGUCCAACCUGAACUUCUCCUGACGCAGCUAGCCUGGACUGUGUAGCUUACCUUAAAAUAUAAUUUGUAGCAAUUUGUGUUUAAAUCUGACAUGAAAACAGAAUCAGUAACGAGCAAAAUCAUCUAAAAUAAUGCCUAAUUUGAAUACUAAUACUAAUACCAGAUUUUGAUUCUGGGAAUGAGUUUGAACUUGAUUUUGUAAUGACCCUUCACAUCUUUAGAGAUGAAUGAGAUGUGUUUACACCAUUCUGUAAUGGUAACGUUUCAUUUUGAUUUCUGGAAUUGUACGUGGUGGUUUUGUGUGGGUUAUUCCACCAGAGUCUGAAAGACACCACACACCAGUGGGAGGUUUAAAUGUACUUUCUAAAGUAUCAUCAAGGUGUUGUCUGCAUGCACACCCCCCACCCCAGGGCUGUCCUGUCUCCCAGGCGGGUUGGACAGCUGCUUUACCCAGUGGCUGGGGGCGGUUCUCCAGGAGGAAGCACAGAUCAGCCGUUAAGUGAAGGAGCGAUGAUCUGCGUUAACACUGUCGGUCAUUUCAGGUCUUGCAGCAGGAGAGAUCAGCUUGGCCCAUUUCAAAUGAGCGAUGAGAGCUGGCUCACAGCUGCCCUGCAAAACCCACUGGCGGUGGGACAGUAUGUCAACAACUGCUCACACGAUCCCCCAGUCUCCCUCCCGGUAUGCAGAAAGAAAGGCACACAUCCUGAAAUGUGAGAUGGUGGGAAAGGAUAUCUGGUAAAGGACCUCUGGCCUGAGGCAAUACACAGAGUUGCAGCUCCAGUUCCCCAGUAUGAUUCCAGCAGGCUCCAUGAGAAAACCAUUUGCACAGUGGCAUGUACAGUAAGAGUCUAUCACUGCUCAGCUUGAACUAUAGUACUUUUUUUUUUCACUUCCUUGCGUUCAUGCGCAAAAUCUAGGAAACUGUUGGUAUGAUCUAGCUGUUGGAUGUGAGGAACUGAACUAUUUAUUCUGUCUCACUCAAUAUGUGUUGGUCUUAAGGUUUGGAGGGAAUAAAUAACUCGUGGGAACAGUUGUGAGAUACAGAAUGUUGCAUUGCUACCAUACCUAGCUUCUAAGUGGCUUUCAGAGCCUGCAUUACACUAAAGAUACCCUGCCUACUAGUAGUAUCCAGAAAGGCCGCUGGAGUAGCAAACUGGAUACUGACCAGCACACAAAGGGCUGUCCCAUGAAACUGUUUCUUCCAGGUCCAGUGUCCAUGUAAAGAAAAUUCCUUUCUUCCUGCUGGACAGCUGGUGAUUUUCUCCCUGGCUGUAUUUAUUGCAUAUUUUGCCACCAGGAAAUUUUUUUUCAGUAUUUUCUUUUUUCUUUUAACUAAAAGCAAAUGCGUAUUAACAGCAUCUCUCAAUGCUGUAAUCUAUACCUGAUGCUAUACAACUUGUCCUCCUUCAUAUACAUACUGAUAAUUGUAGGAUCACAGAAUGGUUUGGGUUAGAAGGGACCUUUGAAGGUCAUCUAGUCCAACCCCCCCUGCAA